CCGAAGCGGUCCCACGUACUUCCGGUUCCGUAGGUUUAUGCUCCCCUCCUUCCUUCCUCCUUCCUUGUUGCCAUGGUAGCGUCGACUGAAGCCUUGUUUCUUCAAAUGCUUUAAGCGAAACUUCCAUGGCUACACCAAGAAAAGAUAUAUGAGUCUCAUAGAUGGACAGUACUUCUAAUCAUGCUGGAGCAAUGCACCAGUCCCUGGAUUAAGGGUGUAUCUACCCAUAUAAUUAAUGCAGUUUUAUACCACAUUAACUGCCAUAGCUCAAUGCAAUACAUUCUGGGAUUUGUAGUUUGGUUGGGCACCAGCACUCUAGCAGAGAAAACUAGAAUUGCGUUUGAUGGGGACGAGAGAGAGGGCCUUCUCGGCCGUGGCUCCCCAACUCUGGAACUCCCUCCCCAGGGAGAUUAGGUUGGCUCCCUCUCUACCUUCCUUCAGGAAGCAACUGAAGACUUGGAUGUUUCGGCAGGCCUUCGGAGAUAGUCAUUAAUUAAUCAGCCCAGUGGGUUUUUAAUAAUUUAUCCUGUUUUUAUUACGGUCUUACCAUUUAUGUGUUUUAAAUGAAAUUUUUAUCUUGUAUUGUUGUUUAUAUUGAUAUAUUGUAUUAUUGUUUUAUCUUUUUAUAUUGUGAUUGUAUUGUGUUGCUUAUAUUUUGUUCUUAUGUUGUUUGGGCCACUGCCCCAUGUAAGCCGCCCCGAGUCCCCGUGGGGAGAUGGUGGCGGGAUAUAAAUAAAGUUUUAUUAUUAUUAUUAACUACAACUUCCAGUAUUCCAUUGCAUUAAAUCACGGCAGUUAGUGAAAUAAUUUUACAGUGCUAAGGAGAAACUGAAUAAAAAAGGAAAUACCACUGCAGAUCUUCUAUGUAGUACUACCGUAGUAGAUUUACUGUAUGAACCUAGCUUUUGUAAAAGUUCUGAUUUGGAUGCUUCAGUGCUAGCACCUGUUUAGCUAGGCUGUUAGGAAUUAUGGGACUUGGAGGGCUGAAGUUUUCCCAUGCCUAAGCUAGAUCUCACACUCCUGCUUGCUCUUGGUCUUCCAUUAAAUUACUUGUCACACUCCAGUACCAAUAGAUAUGUUACAGCACAUUCAUAGCUGUGGUCUCAAAUAAACUUAUCUGUAUGUUGAAAUGAAA